rnacentral:rRNA from 1 species
UACGAAGGGGGCGAGCGUUGUUCGGAUUGACUGGGCGUAAAGGGCGCGUAGGCGGCUCGGCAAGUCGGAUGUGAAAUCCCUCGGCUCAACCAAGGAAGUGCAUCCGAAACUGCGGAGCUUGAGUACUUAAGAGGAUCGCGGAAUUCCCGGCGUAGAGGUGAAAUUCGUAGAUAUCGGGAGGAACACCUGCGGCGAAGGCGGGUAGCUGGGCCGACACUGACGCUGAGGCGCGAAAGCCAGGGGAGCGAACGGG